AACUUAAUACUCUUCUCCUUCAAUUAUCAGUGUUAUUCUCUACAGAAAAUAUCCAUGAGUUCAUACACCAGAUUUAUCAUUUGGCUCAAGCUCCGUGUGUGGCGAAAAUGGAUCAAACACAUCAAAAGUUCGCGUUCAAGUGAAAAACACACAAAAAUAAGUUCAUUUUAAAAAAGAGCUAGCAACCAAAAAUCAAAAAUGAAGAACAAAAAACAAACAAAUCAAAUACUCGAAAUCAACCUCCCCGCCAUCCGGACCCUCAAUUAACG
rnacentral:lncRNA from 1 species